rnacentral:tRNA from 1 species
GAGGGUAUAGCUCAAUCAGUGGUAGAGUGUGUGUUUAGCAUGUACGAUGUCCUGGGUUCAAUCCCCAGUACCUCCA